rnacentral:rRNA from 1 species
GACGAACGCUGGCGGCGUGCUUAACACAUGCAAGUCGAACGAUGAAGAAAAGAAUUGCAGCUUCGGCAGAAAUUCAUUUCGGAUUAGUGGCAGACGGGUGAGUAACGCGUGAGCAACCUACCUCUUACAAAGGGAUAGCCUCGGGAAACCGGGAUUAAUACCAUAUAACAUUGCGACGAAGCAUUUCGAUGCAAUCAAAGCUACGGCGGUAAGAGAUGGGCUCGCGUCCCAUUAACCAGAUGGUGAGGUAACGGCUCACCAUAGUAACGAUGGGUAACCGGCCUGAGAGGGUGAACGGUCACACUGGAACUGAGACACGGUCCAGACUCCUACGGGAGGCAGCAGUGGGGAAUAUUGCACAAUGGAGGGAACUCUGAUGCAGCGACGCCGCGUGAGUGAUGAAGGAAUUCGUUUCGUAAAACUCUGUUCUAUGGGAAGAAAAGGACUGUACCAUAGGAGAAAGCUCCGGCUAAAUACGU